CAUAUUUUUCUCUGAACUGAAAGUGAAGAACAACAGCAGCUGUACCAUCGCUCACUUCUUUCUUCUUCGUCAUCUCUGAGUCUAUAUUACCACCACCUUCUUCUUCAUCAUCAGCGAAAAUAAAUCAAUUACUUAUUCUUCAUCAUCUCACAGGUCAACAACAUGUAAUUCAUUCAUCUUAUUUUGGUGGCAAGUGUACGUGAUGGAAUUGAUGGUGAAAUUGAGAUGGGUUUUGACUGAAUUUUCUUGUGUUAUUGUCAAAGCUCGAUUGAUGAUGUGAUGAAGCUGCCAUUGGUUGAAAUAUUGAAGAAAAGGGAGAAGUAGAUGGAUCUGUAGUUUGCUAGAGAAUUGGGUUUGUGUUGCUGCUGGUGAUGAACACUGAAGAGUGAAGAUAUAUGGGUAUUACGUGUCUGUGAUGGAAUAUAUAGAUAGUGGUGUUGCUGGUGUUUGAACUCAGAUGGGAAUGGGUUUUAUGUAUGGAGAUUGAGAUGGAUCCCGUAGGAGCUAUGUGUAUGAAUUGAUAAAAGUGAAAGAUAUGGGCUUGUUGGUAACUGCCGGAGUAAUCACGUUCUUCAUUGAUUUGGUUCUUCUCCAUUACCAGUGCUUUGUUCAAUUUCAAAUGGAAAUGCGGUGUUUUCUUAAAUUAUUCAAAUUUGUGCGCAUGAUUGUGUACUACUAGAUGAAUUAUAAACUUCUAUUUUUCUCGA